CUCCCCUCCGGCCUCACUGAACCUUGGUAGCCAUAUGCAGAGCUAAUGAAACACAAUCAAGUGAAUGUGUGUUGUUUCAUUUUUUUAACUGCUGGCUGGCCAGGGCUGGACAUUAAUGAUCAAGAUGGGUUUCAGUCACACCAGUGGACCAGCACUCUGCACAUGGCGUCUAAGGGUCACCAUAGUGUUAAUGGAGAACCAAAAU
rnacentral:lncRNA from 1 species